AAAAUAUCAAAUAAAGUCCCGAGUAUAUAUUUACCCCAUGGGUACAUUUGUGUAUAUGCAAUUCUCGUCGUAUAAAUGAAGGAUAUGUAAUUUACUCAACAUUUUUUUUUAUUUACAAUUCGGAUAUAUUAAAUGAUAUUCACGCUUUAUAGCACAAACGUUAUAUGUUUUAGAAUUUCAUUUAUUCUAAAUAUUUCGCGUCAUCACAGACAAACUAUAUAAAGCAGUUCAUAUUGGAUGACAAAUAAAAUAUGACUCAUUUGGAAAACUAAACACAAAACAUCAAGGGUGACAAUGAUGACAUAUCUGCACAAAAUGAUAGAGAUGUAUGUACUGUAACUAGGAAACGGAACAGAAGAUAUCAGUGUAAACAUCAUCAUUCCAAUUGACGAGUCAAACAGAAAACAUUCCUUUGCGUCAAUCUGAUAGUGCAAACAGUGCGAGGAUAUUCAACAGUGCACAAUGCUUUGUUUACGGAACAUAUUAGUUUUCGGCGGUUUGUCCCUGACAAUGAAGCUAUCAACAGUAAAGUCGGAAUCAACUUCGCCACAAACAUCUGUAGUUUCGCAUGCCACAAUGGUUACAUCAAAAGUAUCUUCGUCAUCCACAAGAGUAACACAUGAAGUAGCUUUGCCUAACACAACGAUUACUCCAAAAAUAAAGGUCUCAAUUGCAACAGUCACACAAGCAGUAAAUUUGACAAACACAACCGUUACAACAGCAUUGACGACGCCGGUUGAAACACCGAAACCGGUAAUUACUUCGCUUGCCACAACGGUAACUCCAAGAAUAACGUCUUCAAUUGCAACAGUAACACAAACAGUACCUUUGACAAACACAACCGUUACCACAACAGUAACGACGCCUAUGGAAUCGGUAGGAACUUCGACAAACACAACGGUCACUCCAAAAAGAACAACAACCAUGCAUAACCUUCAUAGCAGAUCAGGAGCAAAGGAAAUCGGACUGACGCUAAUGGGAGCUUGUAUGUGUCUGAUACGUUUAAGGAUGGGACUAUAUGAAACCUUAGCGUGUCUUCUGCAGUGAUAGACGACAAGUGUUCCAAAAGGAUCGAUUAUCAAGGCAUAUAUAAAUAUAGUACUGUCUGAAGUUUAAUGUCUAAUUAAAGAUUUCUCAUCAAAUCGAUGCAGAUUAGUUUGAUGCUUAUUUUUCAUCAUAAAAUAUUGCAAGUUUUGAAGUAACGUAAAUUACAGUUUAGUGAGCCAUGAAACAUCUUUUUUAGCUGAAAAACUAUUGGUGUGUUUAAUUACGUGAUAAUUUUUUGAAUUAAAACUAGACCUUUUUUCAAUAAAACGGAAGUAUUUUACAAGAGAAAGCUUUGUUCGAAAGAUGAAAACUAUUUGGUAACGAACUUUAAAAUGCUGUAGUUUCCGAACACCCCAACGGCCAAGGCGUAAACAUGUCUUAAAAUGUUUGUAAGAUGAUACACUCAUAAAAUCAUGGUAUAAAAAUUCCAGUAGCGGGGGGGGGGGGAGACCUUUAAUCCCUCAUAGUCUAUACGUUAAUGCUAAUAGUGUUCCUGUUAUAGAAAGAAAGAAAUGGUAUAAAAAAUAAUUUCUAACUUUAAAGCGUUCUUAAUUCUAAAAUAGCAAAUCAUCAAGGAAAACAACCAUCAUUAUGGCUCCAUUCAGAAUAUAUUUUUAUCACAUGCUUACCCUUGUUUUCCGUGUAAUAUACCCAUUACGAAUAUUUUUAUCUUACACAUGUGUAAGAUAACAUAUCAGACAUUUCUAUUGGCUAGACUAAUCACACGCGACCUAGAUAUCCCUCCGCAUUGUUUGUAAACAAAAUGGUUUAAACGCCAACAAAUACUUACCUCAAUAAUGAAGCGGUAGGACUUCCGGGAGACAAAUGGCUAACGAAUCAUAGUGCCAGAAAGCAUCUUGUUCGAAAACUUUCUGAUAACAAUGUUCCGCCAACCAGAUAAUGCAGAUUACUAGCCACAGAAAUAUCCAGUCAGUCAACAAAUACAGCCACAUUAGUGACAAACAACACGAGAACAUUUCAAACAUCUCCAUCUUAACAGGCAAUAUGCGACCAAUGCCAUAAAAUUUGCUUGCCAGUUUAAUCAGCUGUCGGUUACCAAAACACAAAUACGAAUUCCGCAGCACAGGUUUUUUCAUCACACGUACGUCCCAAGACGGUAGAACAGCUUUUUCUCUGGAAACAUUCUUGAUGGAACUUUUUCAACAUCAACAUCCAUGCAGUGCAGAGUAAGGCUUCGUCGUAAUCAUCUGCAUGUUGUGAAAAUCCAUGUACACUAAGAAAACGCUUCAAAGUCAUCGUAGAAAGCGACAGCGAAUAACUUUUAAAUCCGUGCACACAGUAAAACUUGACAGACCGAUGUAGGUCACAUAAACCGCGUAAAGCAUGUACUCUCAGUGUGACGUCAUCAAAUUGUGUACUUAUUGUGUUUUAAUGGUUAAAAUUGUUCGUUAUUCAUGUUGUUGGAUAUUUUACUACACAUUUUUAUACUUGUGCCUUGU